GACGAACGCUGGCGGCGUGCUUAACACAUGCAAGUCGAACGGAAAGGCCCUGCUUUUGUGGGGUGCUCGAGGGGCGAACGGGUGAGUAACACGUGAGUAACCUGCCCUUGACUUUGGGAUAACUUCAGGAAACUGGGGCUAAUACCGGAUAGGAGCUCCUGCUGCAUGGUGGGGGUUGGAAAGUUUCGGCUGUUGGGGAUGGACUCGCGGGUUAUCAGCUUGUUGGUGGGGUAGUGGCUUACCAAGGCUUUGACGGGUAGCCGGCCUGAGAGGGUGAACGGCCACAUUGGGACUGAGAUACGGCCCAGACUCCUACGAGAGGCAGCAGUGGGGAAUAUUGCACAAUGGGCGGAAGCCUGAUGCAGCAACGCCGCGUGCGGGAUGACGGCCUUCGGGUUGUAAACCGCUUUCGCCUGUGACGAAGCGUGAGUGACGGUAAUGGGUAAAGAAGCACCGGCUAACUACGUG
rnacentral:rRNA from 1 species